UUUGAAAUCUGGCCUCUUUGGGGUCCGAGUUGUAAUUUGUAGAGGAUGUUUCGGGCACCGCUCCGGUUUAAAUUUCUUGGAACAGAAUGUCAAAGAGGGUGAGAACCCCGUCUUGGACCGGCAGUAGGGCCCAUGUGAAACUCCUUCGACGAGUCGAGUUGUUUGGGAAUGCAGCUCAAAAUGGGUGGUAAAUUUCAUCUAAAGCUAAAUAUUGGCCAGAGACCGAUAGCGCACAAGUAGAGUGAUCGAAAGAUGAAAAGCACUUUGAAAAGAGAGUUAAACAGUACGUGAAAUUGUUGAAAGGGAAGCGCUUGCAACCAGACUUGCGCGCGGCGGUUCCCCCUUCCUUUUGGUUGGGUUAUUCCGCCGUGUCCAGGCCAACAUCGGUUCUGGGGGUCGGUUAAAGGCCUGGGGAAUGUAUCUACCCUUCGGGCGUAGACUUAUAGCCCCGGGUGUCAUGCGACCUCCCGGGACCGAGGAACGCGCUUCGGCUCGGAUGUUGGCGUAAUGGUUGUCAGCGACCCGUCUUG
rnacentral:rRNA from 1 species